rnacentral:rRNA from 3 species
GUGUUGCAUGGCUGUCGUCAGCUCGUGUCGUGAGAUGUUGGGUUAAGUCCCGCAACGAGCGCAACCCUCAUCCUUAGUUGCUAUCAGGUAAUGCUGAGUACUUUAAGGAAACUGCCAGUGAUAAGCUGGAGGAAGGUGGGGAUGAUGUCAAGUCAUCAUGGCCUUUAUGGAGUGGGCUACACACGUGCUACAAUGGUGUCUACAAUGGGCUGCAAGGUGCGCAAGCCUAAGCUAAUCCCUAAAAGACAUCUCAGUUCGGAUUGUACUCUGCAACUCGAGUACAUGAAGUUGGAAUCGCUAGUAAUCGUGGAUCAGCAUGCCACGGUGAAUACGUUCUCGGGUCUUGUACACACUGCCCGUCACGCCAUGGGAAUUGGUUUC